rnacentral:misc_RNA from 1 species
UCCGAGUUGACCCCGGCAGUCUCAUUAGAGUUCCCACCUUUACGUGUUGGCAACUAAUGAUAAGGGUUGCGCUCGUUGCGGGACUUAACCCAACACCUCACGGCACGAGCUGACGACAGCCAUGCAGCACCUGUGCAGCGGCCCCGAAGGGAGAUACCAUCUCUGGUACUGUCCACUGCAUGUCAAGCCUGGGUAAGGUUCUUCGCGUUGCAUCGAAUUAAACCACAUGCUCCACUGCUUGUGCGGGUCCCCGUCAAUUCUUUUGAGCCUCACCCUUGCGAGCGUACUCCCCAGGCGGUAUACUUAUCGCGUUAGCUUCGGCACAACUAGGGUUGAGUCCAGUUACACCAAGUAUACAUCGUUUACGGCAAGGACUAC